rnacentral:rRNA from 1 species
UUAAGCUACAAAGAGCGUAGGGUGAAUAGCUAGGCACCAAGAGCCGAAGAAGGACGUGAUAAGCUGCGAAAAGCUUUGGGUAGGAGCAAAUAUCCAUUAAUCCAGAGAUAUCCGAAUGAGGGAACUCACUUAGAGCAAACAAUCUAAGUAUCCAUAUAUGAGUAAAGUAGUAUAUGAGAAGGGAACGUGGGGAACUGAAACAUCUUAGUACCCACAGGAAAAGAAAGAGAAAUCGAUUCCUAGAGUAGUGGCGAGCGAAAUAGGAAGAGCCUAAACCAUGAGUAGUAAUACACAUGGGGUUCGGACCACGAUAUAUUAUCAAUAAUUCUAAUAGAAAUGUUUUGGAAAAGCAUACCAUAGACGGUGAAAGUCCAGUAUAUGAAAGGAAAGUUGAGAUUAGUGGUAUCCAGAGUAGUACGAGACACGAGAAAUCUCGUAUGAAUAAGCGGGGACCAUCCCGUAAGGCUAAAUACUACUUGGUGACCGAUAGUGAACUAGUACCGUGAGGGAAAGGUGAAAAGAACCCCGGGAGGGGAGUGAAAUAGAACAUGAAACCCUAUGUUUACAAGCAGACAAAGCACUUUAUAUGUGCGAUGUCGUACUUUUUGUAGAACGGUCCAGCGAGUUAUUGUGUAUGGCGAGGUUAAGUAUUACGUAAGGUACGGAGCCGAAGCGAAAGCGAGUCUGAAAAGGGCGAUAUAAGUCAUGCAUAAUAGACCCGAAACUGAGUGACCUAUCCAUGAGCAGGAUGAAGCUAGAGUAAAAUCUAGUGGAGGUCCGAACUGAUUGUCGUUAAAAAGGCACCGGAUGACUUGUGGAUAGCGGAGAAAUUCCAAUCGAACUCAGAGAUAGCUGGUUCUCCUCGAAAUAGCUUUAGGGCUAGCCUUGAGGGAAUGCAUAUGGGGGUAGAGCACUGAAUGAGGUAGGGGCCUAACCAGGUUACCAAACUCUAUCAAACUCCGAAUACCAUAUGUAAAUACUCAGGAGUCAGACUGCGGGAGCUAAGUUCCGUGGUCAAAAGGAAAACAGUCCAGAUCGUCAAUUAAGGUCCCAAAGAUAUAGCUAAGUGGAAAACGAUGUGAUUUUGCAUAAACAACCAGGAUGUUGGCUCAGAAGCAGCCACUCAUUCAAAGAGUGCGUAAUAGCUCACUGGUCGAGUGAAGUUGCGCGGAAAAUUACCGGGGCUAAGCUAUACACCGAAAUUGCGGAUUUACAUUUGAAAGACAAUGUAAGUGGUAGAGGAGCAUUCUGUAGUAGGAAGAAGCAUGACCGUAAGGACAUGUGGACGAAGCAGAAGAGAGAAUGCUGGAAUAAGUAGCGAGAGGAUGGUGAGAAUCCAUCCCGUCGAAAAUCUAAGGUUUCCCAGGGAAGGUUCGUCCGCCUGGGGUAAGUCGGGACCUAAGGAGAGGCCGAAAGGCGUAUCUGAUGGAUAGCAGGUUGAAAUUCCUGCACUACGAAUAUACUUAAAAGAUUCAAGGGACGCAGAAGUGGAAGAUAACCAAGUAAGAGGAAAAGCUUGGCUCGCAAGAGGGAGUGAAAAUUAAAAGUAACGAAGUAUCAAGAAGCACGCUGACGAGAAAAGCUUGAAGAUAUUGUAUAUAAGUACCCGUACCGCAAACCGACACAGGUAGAUGAGGAGAGGAUCCUAAGACGAGCGGGAGAAGCAUUGUUAAGGAACUCGGCAAAUUAACCCCGUAACUUCGGAAUAAGGGGUGCUGAUGUAACAGUCAGUCGCAGAGAAAAGGCCCAAGCAACUGUUUAACAAAAACAUAGGUUUCUGCUAAAUCGAAAGAUGAAGUAUAGGAGCUGACGCCUGCCCAGUGCUGGAAGGUUAAGGGAAAGAGUUAGGGUUAAACCGAAGCUUAGAACUGAAGCCCCAGUGAACGGCGGCCGUAACUAUAACGGUCCUAAGGUAGCGAAAUUCCUUGUCAGGUAAGUUCUG